rnacentral:rRNA from 1 species
GAUGAACGCUGGCGGCGUGCUUAACACAUGCAAGUCGAACGAUGAAGCCCAGCUUGCUGGGUGGAUUAGUGGCGAACGGGUGAGUAACACGUGAGUAACCUGCCCUUGACUCUGGGAUAAGCCCGGGAAACUGGGUCUAAUACCGGAUAGGAGCGCCUGUCGCAUGACGGGUGUUGGAAAGAUUUUUCGGUCAUGGAUGGACUCGCGGCCUAUCAGCUUGUUGGUGAGGUAAUGGCUCACCAAGGCGACGACGGGUAGCCGGCCUGAGAGGGUGACCGGCCACACUGGGACUGAGACACGGCCCAGACUGCUACGGGAGGCAGCAGUGGGGAAUAUUGCACAAUGGGCGGAAGCCUGAUGCAGCGACGCCGCGUGAGGGAUGACGGCCUUCGGGUUGUAAACCUCUUUCAGUAGGGAAGAAGCGAAAGUGACGGUACCUGCAGAAGAAGCACCGGCUAACUACGUG